rnacentral:rRNA from 1 species
GAUGAACGCUGGCGGCGUGCCUAAUACAUGCAAGUCGAGCGAAUGGAUUGAGAGCUUGCUCUUAUGAAGUUAGCGGCGGACGGGUGAGUAACACGUGGGUAACCUGCCCAUAAGACUGGGAUAACUCCGGGAAACCGGGGCUAAUACCGGAUAACAUUUUGAACCGCCUGGUUCGAAAUUGAAAGGCGGCUUCGGCUGACACUUAUGGAUGGAACCGCGUCGCAUUAGCUAGUGGGUGAGGGAACGGCUCACCAAGGCAACGAUGCGUAGCCGACCUGAGAGGGUGAUCGGCCACACUGGGACUGAGACACGGCCCAGACUCCUACGGGAGGCAGCAGUAGGGAAUCUUCCGCAAUGGACGAAAGUCUGACGGAGCAACGCCGCGUGAGUGAUGAAGGCUUUCGGGUCGUAAAACUCUGUUGUUAGGGAAGAACAAGUGCUAGUUGAAUAAGCUGGCACCUUGACGGUACCUAACCAGAAAGCCACGGCUAACUACGUGCCAGCCGCCGCCGUAA